CUACCUAUAGGCAUCAUUCCACCCCCUACAA
rnacentral:tRNA from 1 species